ACUUCCUGAGCCGGAACGAAAAGUUUUAUCGGAAUGCGUGUUCUGAUGGGCUUUUGGCUUACGGUUGUGAUGUUGUGUUGUUGUGUUUGCAAUUGGUCUGCGAUUCAGACCACGGUAGCGAAGCUACCUUUUUCACUUCCUGUACAU
rnacentral:misc_RNA from 1 species